GUGGAGAGCAAAUGUCAUGAAAAAGAUUUUCUGGCAAGAGUCAAGCGGCGCCUCUUCUGAUCAGUAAUUCAGACAGAGCUUAUCACAUAGACGGAAACAUAAUCAUUGUACUGCUAAACGGGGUAAUGUGCCAGUGCAGCACUUCACUUCUGAUUCAGUGCUACAGGAGGGUGCACAGACCUCAGUCAAGAUGCUGGAGGACACCAUGCAGGAUCACAGCCACUGGUUGCUACUCUGCCUUUCACCGGUCAGCUCAAGAGGCCGUUAGUGUCCAGCUGCUCUUCUCCAGUCAUGUUGCUUCUUAAUCGCCUUUUCAAUAACAGAAAAGAGAAUGAAGAAAAUCUCUUCUCCAAUCUACGGAUUGCACUUGUGGCUCUUUUCCAGAUGACAUCCAGUCCUACAAUGCUAAUAUCCUUAAGCAUGCCUCACCAGUGCACUCAUCUAUUCACAGAAACAUCCCAGUAGAUUUCAGUGAAACUAAAAAAGUCACUGAGGUGUCUAUUUCUCUCUGUUGACUUUUAAGGGAACUCCAAGUAGUUAGAUGAGAUGUCUAGCAUCAAAAGUAGAUACAUGUGAAAUUAUUCCUAUAUAUGACUGUUUAAAUAUGCAGAAAGGUCCCUGAUUUUCCAACAUCAUGUUACAGCACAGUAGAUUUUUUUUCUCUUGUUCAAAUGCAUUAAUAAAUAUUAUUACAAUAUUGUAUUGUGGGCACUUUUAAUUGAACAAAAUAUAUCACUAAAUAUGUUGA